UACGGAGGGGGCUAGCGUUGUUCGGAAUUACUGGGCGUAAAGCGCACGUAGGCGGCUUUGUAAGUUAGAGGUGAAAGCCCGGGGCUCAACUCCGGAAUUGCCUUUAAGACUGCAUCGCUCGAAUUGUGGAGAGGUGAGUGGAAUUUCCGGUGUAGCGGUGAAAUGCGUAGAUAUCGGAAGGAACACCUGUGGCGAAAGCGGCUCACUGGACCAUUACUGACGCUGAGGCACGAAAGCUAGGGGAGCAAACAGG
rnacentral:rRNA from 1 species